rnacentral:lncRNA from 1 species
GAAACUUUCCCCUAUUUCCAUUGCCUGAUAGUAGGCAGACUCUUCUUGUAGAAGAUGUCUUGAAUGUUAACUGUGGAAUAGGUUGCUCAAGCUCAAGCACAUGACAUCUUUUUAUAGAGGUAUAUGAAACCUGUGGUUUUCUGUUUGAAUUCUUCUGUCAUAAAGUUGAAUGUGCAAUGGAGAGAACAAUGGGAUGAUAAUUUUUAGAAUUAUUAUAUUCUUUGUAUUGAUGUCUCCUUUGGUAGUUUGUUGUGUUGUAUAUCUUAUGUACAUAUUGGACUUCUAUUUAUCCAGUUGCAUCUGGAGUCCUGUACUAACUAUUCAUCUUGUUAUUUGUUUGUCUAAAUAGAACAAAACCAUUUUGCAUCCUGAAAUAUGACCUAUUUUUCCCUUUCCUGCUUCCUCUGUUUCUCCCUAUGAAAUCCUCUUGGUUUAAUUUCUAUCUGUUAACAUACCCAAUUUAGUUACUGCUGGAACUUGCUCUUGGUUACUUUCUGUCUGUUAUUUUUGUAUGCUUGUUUCUAAUUUAUUUUAUUGACAAGGCUUUUGCAAAUAAAUUUUCAUGGUUGCUGUUUGACCACAUUUGUUUCCUGCAUGCAGAUGUGCCAAACUAUCAAUAGCAUGACAUUGACUUUUUUCAUUUGCAAUAACCUUAAAUCAAGGUUAUUGCAUAAGUGAAUCUUUUCUACCAUUGAUGAGUAACUGGAGGGAGAACAUGCAGUCCUCCUAUGUAGUAAUGACCAGAUUUGAACAGCAUGAUUGGUAAGAUGUUAAUUUAUAACACAUUGAGCUUGCUAUUGAUUUCUACAUUUUUCUUUAUUGUAUUUGAAUUUAUAUUUUAUGAUAACCUGAACAUACUUGAAUUUUCAUUAUCAAUUUGAAUCCUCUCAGUCUGUCUCACUCAUAGAAAUCAUCAGACUGCUAAGCAGCCAUCACAUCUCAUUUGCGAUUUUCUAGUCUGUAACCUGGUUGAGUAGAGUUACCUUCUCUAAUUAAGUUAUAUCCUUAGUUCUCAAUUGCACUGUAUAUAUUUCCUCUGUUAUUUUGCAUUUUGCAAAUAGGGUUGAUGGUGUUUUUAGUUCCUAAAAAUUUCCACAUUUUGGUGUUUUAGUCCCAGACUUUAAAGUCAAGGAUAAAACAAAAGUUUGGAUACUUUUCAGUGACUAAAAGCACUAUUAACCACUUGAACAUUUUAGGUGGAUGAGAUAAAAUCCCACAGAGCAAGCUCUAACAAGGUAUCUUUUUUAGUGUAGACUGGAGAGUUCUCAACUUUUUUUCAAUAAAAUAGAAGACAAAUCUCCCAAGUUAAAUUCAUAAAUCUCCAUCAGCAUAAACUCUUGAGAAAUGGUAACAACACCCUUUCUAACAAACUUUUUUGUUCUUUCAACUCACUAUAAUCUUUACUAUUGAGUGAAAUUUGUGUAUGCUCCAGUAAAUGAUGUGGGUCUUACUAAUCUCACUCCCUAUUUAGUUUGGCGCACAUGAAUUUUGCCCAGCAACAAGGAAUGUGCAAUAGAAUGUGAUGCUAACAUUCAUUUGAACUCUUGGCACUUGGAACAUUGACAACUGACUAGCUAGACCUUUAAGACUUUAAAGCAACUUUUACUUGUAGGUCCAUCACAAUUCUCACACCAGUUCAGAUUUAUUCUUCAAAAUAUUAAGCCACCCAUGACCAAUCCAUUUGGAACUGCGUUUUGUAUGUUCUGGGUGCAUUAGACACAAGGAAUUCUCAUAUAUAUAUAUAUAUAUAUAUUGGACAGAAAUUCUGCAGUAUGGCACUGUUUGCUGAAAUUGAUGAAUUGAAGUUAUCAAGAAUGGUCACAAAAACCUUUUAUCAAAUUCUUAAUUAAUUACGUAUCACCUAACCUACCCUUUGUGGGCUUCUUUCCUACCCUAGUUCUACCAUAAGGUUGCGACCUAUCAUUUUUCUUGAGAAAGAAACUGCCCAAGUUGUAACAGAGGGUUAUGGAAUCAAUGUUUAGCUCUCUUUUAAGCAACCUAGAAUCCUUUUUGUUAUUCUGUUUUAGAAAGUUUAAUUGAAUCUAUAAACUUUUUCCUUAUAAUAGUUAUCUUCUUUCUUUUUUUAAUACUGUCAUUUCAUGUGUUAGGGCCUUAGGGGGAAUUAUAUCACAAACUAAGGAUGAUCCUGAUUUUUAUUUUUAUUUUUAUCCCCCCUCCCUCCUUGUGCCCCCAAAAGAGGAAAGGAUAUGCUAUCUAAAUGACUAAUAUAAAAUGUAGUGUAAGUAAAACUACCUUACAGAUAGCUGAAAAAAAUCCUUACAUUAGGUAAUUGUGUUCCCUAUUCUAGUAUAACAGCCAAACAACUUUUAAAAGGUUAGGGAAAUGAGCUUUAGAGAAUUAUGUCAUAAUCUCUUUUUUGGGUUGCAAAAAUGAAUGUUGAUUGCUUUUCGGAUUUCAGUCUCUUUCAUUGUACCUAUCAAAUACAUGUACCUAAUAAUGAGGUGAUAUUGAUAAUUCAUUCAGAUAUAAUAAAAUUUUAGGGGGCUAUAUAAUAUAUAUACUCCUUAUAGUUUAUUUGGUUGUGAAAUAAUAACAAUUCAAAAUAAUAUACAUGGCACUAAAAAUUUGUGCAGGUGCUUAUUGCUUUGUACUCCCCAAGAAAGCUUCGUCGUGAGCAUUAAAAUAUGAUCAAAGCUGUUAUCUUUGUGCUUCAAUGCACAUAAGACGUAUGAGAAGGUGUGAAUAAGAUGUGGAGCAUUGAGAUCCAAAGAGUAUUUUUUGUGUAUAAAUAAAUGAUCACAGGUAACAUUAGCAUUACAAUGGAGGCGGUGAAAUCAAAGCAUAACCGACGAAUAAUAAUAGAUACAAUUGAGAGAAUCAUCCCUUUUCAACAACUCACGAAUAUUAAAGUAGGCACAAAACAAACGCACCAAAAUGCAUAUUCAUAUAAAUAUAUUAAGAUGUACCAAUGAAGUAUUCUUUUAACCAAGAGAAAUAUAGUAAUAAAUUUGAGCCAUCAAUUUCUA